rnacentral:rRNA from 1 species
CCUACGAGAGGCAGCAGUGAGGAAUAUUGGUCAAUGGACGCAAGUCUGAACCAGCCAUGCCGCGUGCAGGAAGACGGCUCUAUGAGUUGUAAACUGCUUUUGUACGAGGGUAAACGCAGAUACGCGUAUCUGUCUGAAAGUAUCGUACGAAUAAGGAUCGGCUAACUCCGUGCCAGCAGCCGCGGUAAUACGGAGGAUUCAAGCGUUAUCCGGAUUUAUUGGGUUUAAAGGGUGCGUAGGCGGUCGGAUAAGUUAGAGGUGAAAUCCCGAGGCUCAACUUCGGAAUUGCCGCUGAUACUGUUCGGCUAGAGAGUAGUUGCGGGAGGCGGAAUGUAUGGUGUAGCGGUGAAAUGCUUAGAGAUCAUACAGAACACCGAUUGCGAAGGCAGCUUACCAAGCUACUUCUGACGUUGAGGCACGAAAGCGUGGGGAGCAAACAGGAUUAGAUACCCUUGUAGU